ACCAGGGCGAUAUCAGAAAGCACACUAGUAAUCAUUCCGUAGUGAGCGAACACAGAAUGUCUUAUGGGCAUGAUUUUGACUGGGGGAAGCCAGAAAUAUUACACCAAGAAAGACAUACUAGAAAGAGGGAAUUAGCGGAGAUGUUUUUUAUUAAAAAAUUUGACGGCACUAUCAAUUUACAAAAGGACACGGAGAAUCUUAACGUUCUCUACGAACAUAUCAUAAAAGAAUUAUAACUCCUUCCCCUUCUUCGCUACUUCCCUCUCUACGUCCUAGCUUAUUACUAUGGCAACUGUUUGUUUUUAUAUUGUCAAGUUUGUCAGUCUAAAUUUUACCACCGCACGGCUCUGACAUGACACAAACAUCUAACGAAGUAUGCCGUUUAACGAAUAUUUUAUAUUGUAUUGUUUGAUCCUGACGCACAAAUAUUUUCUAGAUUCGGCGUAGUUAGGGCAUUAUGCCUGACGAAUAUAUUUGUGAGAGAGCGCUUGAAAAGGACCGGAUCCAGGGUCGAAACGUAGCGUUGUAAAUCAAUAAAAUUUGGCCAGCCAGUUCUGUUAAUUUUCAUGUAAAAUUGUAGUAUCUUAUAAACAUCUAAAAAAACCAAAUUUAUGUAGAUUUUCAUGAAUUCACGAGUUGUAAAAAGCAUCAUAGAUAUUUCUUCAACGAUGUCGAUACGCAACUAUCCAAAGCGCACAAUUAAAAUGUGAAUAGCAACUUUAACUUCAAUAGCAACUUAAAAAAAAAACAGAAAGAUUUAUUCAAUUUCAGCAGUAAAAGAUGAAGUUAGGUAUUGAUAAAGUUUAAACGCAGACAAGGAUCAAGAUCGAGAAGCAUGUAUAAAGUUUUCUGCUUUUCGAAACAAGAUCGGGGGAAGCAUGUAUAAAAAUUGUUGCAAUUGUAAUUCCUCUAAACCUAUAUAUCUAUUGCAAUAAUAAAAUAAUAGGAGCAAAUACUUCGUACAAUAACAUUCUUAUUUUCAAACUGAAUUGUACCAAAAUUACACAUUACAAUUACUUAUUUUAAAUAUAUAUUUUUAAAAAGGUAAAUUUUGUACAUACUUAUCGGUAACAACGGUCCACUUCCCGAGUAGAAAUUUAUUCAGGCGUGCCUGUUGUCAUGUACGGCCCUGAUCAGGUAUAAAUGAGGCAUGCCUGACUACGGCAUGCCAGAUCAGGUCCUGACUGGUGCCAUAUCAAGCAUGCCUGGUUAUAUAUAAUCAGGCAAGCCUGAUAAGGCAAUAAUCAGGACCUUUUUGAGUAUCCCCUAAUACACAAAUUUUCAAAAUAUUUGGCUGUGUUGUCCGUCCGCCUUAGGCAUGUGCAGAUGUGCAGUGUAUUAAUCUCAUAUAUAAUACACAUGCACUGUGUUAUUAUUAUAGAAUAGCUGUUAAUCCACCGCUAUCAGAAAUUGUGUUUUUUAUAUAUCUCUAUAUCUGGCUUCGAAACUAUAGACUCUACUGAUUUCAUCUUUUGUACAGUCAAUCUUUUUCUAAUUGCAGAGGACAUGAGUGACAAUAAAAGAAAACGAAAGCAAGAGCUAACACGACUACAGGUGAAGCGGCACAGAAAACAUAAAGCUUAUUGUAGUACAUCUGAAAAUGGAAAUAAAUCUGACAGUUCAUCUGCUUCAAUGGCUUCUCCUGCUGCUGCUUCAAUCUCAAAUGAGCAAGAAUUCUUUAUGGACAUCGAACAAUUCAUAUGAUGAAAACACUGCAGUGAACAAUAAUAAUGAAAAUUUAAACUUAACGCAGGAUUC